rnacentral:rRNA from 1 species
GAGAGCGGCGGACGGGUGAGUAAAGCCUAGGAAUCUGCCUGGUAGUGGGGGAUAACGCUCGGAAACGGACGCUAAUACCGCAUACGUCCUACGGGAGAAAGCAGGGGACCUUCGGGCCUUGCGCUAUCAGAUGAGCCUAGGUCGGAUUAGCUAGUUGGUGAGGUAAUGGCUCACCAAGGCGACGAUCCGUAACUGGUCUGAGAGGAUGAUCAGUCACACUGGAACUGAGACACGGUCCAGACUCCUACGGGAGGCAGCAGUGGGGAAUAUUGGACAAUGGGCGAAAGCCUGAUCCAGCCAUGCCGCGUGUGUGAAGAAGGUCUUCGGAUUGUAAAGCACUUUAAGUUGGGAGGAAGGGCAUUAACCUAAUACGUUAGUGUUUUGACGUUACCGACAGAAUAAGCACCGGCUAACUCUGUGCCAGCAGCCGCGGUAAUACAGAGGGUGCAAGCGUUAAUCGGAAUUACUGGGCGUAAAGCGCGCGUAGGUGGUUCGUUAAGUUGGAUGUGAAAUCCCCGGGCUCAACCUGGGAACUGCAUUCAAAACUGUCGAGCUAGAGUAUGGUAGAGGGGGGGUGGAAUUUCCUGUGUAGCGGUGAAAUGCGUAGAUAUAGGAAGGAACACCAGUGGCGAAGGCGACCACCUGGACUGAUACUGACACUGAGGUGCGAAAGCGUGGGGAGCAAA